rnacentral:lncRNA from 1 species
CCAUUGCAUCAAUUCACCUUUUUUCCUGCAAAUCCCAGCUCAGCCUUGCUCCUGAGCUCCUGUUAGUGAACCCUGACUGGCAGCUGAGGAAAUAAGAGUGUGUUUUUAACUGUGGGGGUUUGGAGAACCAAAAGUAACCCUAAACCCCAGCCAGUCCCCAGAAUGGAAACGUGAGGAGGUUGGUCAUACAUGGAAGGGGUAUCAGUGGAAAGAGAAAUAGAGACCAACCUUAAAUCCAUUGCUUCAGAAAUGAAGGAGCAGGAAGUGUAGAAUGAGAAGCAAACCACCCCACAACUGAGAGAUAUGAUUUCCAAAUAAGCUGCAGCUUGGCCAAGCUAUCCCAAGAGCAGCAGGUAUGUUUGUGGUAGAAAAGAUGUUUCUUGGGAACAUGAAGCUGUGCCUUAACUUGAGCACCAAGUCAGCCACACCCAUAAGGUAAGAAAACCCCCUCCUAAAAUAAUAGUUCAAAACAAAAAUAGAACAGCUGAAUGGAAUUUCCCCCCCAGUUUUCUUCUUUCUUUUUCUCUCAUUAGACACAUUAGAUCUGCUGAAGGGAUUUUUUUCCCAUUCAUGUUUCAUGAAUGCAAAAACAUGUGCAAAUUAAGGAUAUAAUUGACAGACAAAUGGCAGCUGCCAAAACCAGGAGGGAAAAGUUUCUAAAAGCUGAUGGUUUCACAGAUCCUUACUGCUGCACUUUGGUUUUGUGCUUCUUGUUGUCUGUUAUUUCAGUGGAAGUGCCUAACUCCAGGAUAACUUCUCUUCACAGACUUAAGGAAAUAAGAUACAUCUUUAUAAGCUUAUAUGGUGGAAUCUCCACAAUAAGAUAAAGAAAUAUCUGCUCAGAGAAGGUGCUCAGAGUCUGACUCAGGCCAUGCUCAGCCAAACUCAGCUAUGACUGUAAGAAAUUUUAUUUCUUAUGCAUCAGAAACAUUCUGAAAUUCCAGUGUAAGAAGAUGACACUUUUGUAAGAAAGAGCCCAGAUUUUCCUGGGGAAGAUAUUAUAUUUUCUGGGAAAGUUUGUGCUGUUCAGAGUCUCUUUCACUGGAAAGCAAAGCACAGCUAUUUGGCAUUCAGCUGAGUCAGCAUUCAUAGCGAAGAAACAGCUUCCAAGGCAGGAAGGAGAGGAUGAUUCUUCAGAUUUGGGUAAUAUAAGUCUUCCUUGCUUCUGACUGUGGCAGGCACAAUUCCGUAACAGGACUCUCCCAUCCAAGUUUCUUAAAUCAUGGCUGGCUUCAUUCCAGCCUCAGAGGUUGGGGCUGUGACCUGGCUGGCUGCGCGGUGGCACGGCCAGAGUGACCCCAGGCAGUGACACUGCUGCUUUCUGUGCUGUCUCCAGGGCAUCAGGAGCUGCUCUCACACCACCUCAGGCUUCAUGGGGACCUCUUGCCAAAGGGCUUUUAUGGCACAAGAUGAAAUAGUCACUUUUAUGCUGUUAUUCCUUUACGCUGCAGAAAGAUUCAAACGGGCAUCUGCGGGUUUGCCAGACAGAAGGAAACCUAAUUUGUUAAUAAACUUUAUUUGUAAGUUCUACA